rnacentral:ncRNA from 1 species
UAAAGAAGAGGCGCAUUACUCAGGUAAAUUAUUUUAGGUUCUGGUACUUGUUAUAAAUAAUUGAGGGGAUGUAAUGCCGAGGUUUGGUUAAACUUCCAGAAAUUAACCAGAUCGACUACAAGGGCUGAAUCCCUUGGGUUGUCACCUAAGCAGGUGGAGCGCUUCCCGG